GGCGAGUUCGUCUAGGGGUUAGGACGUCUCUCUUUCACGGAGAAAACACGGGUUCGAUUCCCGUACUCGCUA
rnacentral:tRNA from 1 species